AUGCGUCAUCACGUCGCCUGCGCAAGGAUCGCUUCCGGCCUCCAGCAUCGGAUCUUGCGAGUUUUGCUUACUGCCAUGCUGGGUGACCGGAGUCGGAGUUCCAGCUCAUUCAGCAGUGAUGGGCGAGCUGGACAGGAGCAACGAUCGGCAGGCCAGACAGGAGCGGCUCUCGGGCCGUAUGUGGCCCGCGGGCCGCACUUUGCCCAGGUCUGCUGUACUCCAUUCAUUUCCUUUGCAGAUUUUGGCAUGAUGCUUGGGACCUAUCCUGGCUCAUCUCUUCUUUCUGGAGGAACAGAAACAGUAUCUGUGCAACCUGACCUGGACAGUGCCAAGCUGCGGAGAGACGCUGGCCGCUUCCCUCUCUCGGACCUCUCUCUGAACCUCAAGGGUAUAGUGGUGACCUUUGAGGACGUAGCUGUGUAUUUUACGGAGAAGGAGUGGACUCUGCUGGAUCCGGCCAAAGGGCUCUCCACAGGGACGUCAUGGAGGAGAAUUGGGCCAAUCUGGUCUCCCUAG
rnacentral:lncRNA from 1 species